rfam:Ipomoea nil DNA, scaffold: scaffold2805, cultivar: Tokyo-kokei standard.
GUCAGGAUGGCCGAGUGGUUUAAGGCGCCAGACUCAAGUUUUGGUCUUCAUGAGAAGGCGUGGGUUUAAAUCCCACUUCAAACA